UUCACUAAUUACAUGGUAACCUGCAUUCUUUGGGUGGCGAAUAAAAGAAGAAAAGCAUUUAUUUCCCAUAGAAACAAUUGCCUGUCAAACAAAGCAUAAAAAGACAAAAGGCAGAAACACUGUUUCAGCUUGAAUGCCUUAAUGUCACCAUUUGUCAUGCAGCACUGGCUGAGAAAACCCCGAAGUACAGUUAACUCUGCUCCUCUUUACACCGUGCACUUUCUCCGUUGGUACAGGAUUAAAAUGUGCCCGGCCUGACGAUGAAACAGCAGAGCCAUCACACAUUGUUAUGCAACUCACUGUCUGCAAGGGUGGCUCGUAGCUCCUUCUUUAUUCAGCAAGUGCCAAGUGCAUGUUUAAUCAAUGUCACAGCUCACCACAGUGUGCAACUAAAGCCACUGUCAUUCCUCUCUUCAGAUUUGCCUGGCUGAGUUAUGCAAUGCUCCGAAGAAUACCUUGGAGUUCUUUCCAGAGGCUCUGAAGGCAGGUGUGUGACAGCGUUCACACCACUGCCAGCAAAGCAGACCUCUUUCCAUCCUUUUUCAGGCUGGACUAAAAUUACAUAGUGUGACUGCACGUAGUUUGCUGCAUUUGGAAUUACAGCAUGUCAACGUGAGAAAGCCUCUUCAGACGGCUGCCACAAAGAGUAAAUCAAAGGCUGGGUGUUUCUGAAGUCUUAAUAAAUAACUAAGUAUAACUGAAUAAAAUCAGGAGCUGUUUGCAUUUUCUUUUAAGACAAAACAGAGCAGCAUGCAUUUUGUUGCUCUGCAUCAGCUAAGGAAAAAAAGCCUCAAUUUUAAUGAGAAUUAGUCUACAGUGAGGAGCAUUAUGAGAAAGAGCUUUACUGUUUUUUCGACUACACUUGCUUUAGUGGAUUACUGAGAAAGAACACCAGUCAUUUGGAAGAUUCUGCAACAUCAUUAUCCUCACCGAUAAACUUCUUCAUCAAGAAACUGUUCGUGUUCCUAUCUGGUCUGUCUGAGAGAGGAGAGCAACCCCUUCAUGAAGAUAAAAGCCUGGCUUGCCACUGAAUCGACGAGUAAGAAGCAUGUCUGAUGACAUUUUAUUCCUGAUGCAAUGUAGGCUAGCUGCCAGAAUACUGGUGAAGGUAUUUGCAGGAAAAAUGGGGACCUCUGCCAUCACAACACUGGAAGAUGUAAAAAGGCAAGAGGAGAAAGAGGAAAAAGAAGAAUCUAUUUUAGCACUGCUUGGGAUUAUUGGAACUGUGCUCAAUUUAUUUGUUAUUGUUUUUGUGUACAUCUACACUACACUUUGAUGACAUUUUUGAAAAUCAAUUGUACAGCACAAAGUGCAAAGACCUGCAAAUGGUAAGGAUGAUUUCUAAAUUUAAAGCAAAAAACCCACCAGUCUCUGAAAAGAGUAUCAAAAACAUUCCAGAGUGAAGUGUCUGGCUAAGGGUGCUGCAUCAAUGACUGCAAAGUGUACCCACGAGCCCAGUUAGGGUGCUAAAUUACGUAAAUGAAGGUAGACCAAAUACAACUUCUUGUUGGUAACAGAUGAAAUCUGAAUAGCAGGAUCAGAGAUGGCACUGUUUUAUUGCCAGCAAACAUGCAAGACAGAAAUGUAGGCAAAUACUGAAAAUAAUCAGAACAUAGAAAGACAAACUAAAUAUAUAAGUAACUAUAAGCAAGUCCCAUGCCUUCAAUGCUUUUGUGCAAUAUGUCUCUUCAUAGCUGAGACCAGAAAACAGGCAAAAGGGUAUUUUAUUUUUAGGCCACCAUAAUUUAGGAUUAUAACUUACACUAAUGUAUAAUAAGUGUGGAAACAGGAACACUGUUAUACUAGAAGUUGUAAUAUUAUAAAUAAAAUUUUAACUCUUGACUAUAUUCUGCUGCAUUUUUGUUAGUCUUGUGAAAAGCUGAAAAAGGUUAGAUUUUCUUGCCUUUACUAAAUCUGUAUUUGAAAUCAUCAUGCUAUACUGAAAAUGUGCUUUUCUAAUGAAAAAUACUUUAAAAGUGGUGUGAAAAAUAAAGAAUAACUUUAGUACUUCUUUUAAGAUAUAUUAAUAAUUACAAUGAAACACUAAUACAUAUUCUCUAAACGAAAAAAUCUUAAACUACAUUUUCUAUAUCACCAUUUUUAGAAUGUGUGUAACAGAAGCCAAAUAUAAUUCUCAUGUUUUCACUCAGAUGCUUACUUUCAAGGAAAACAUAUCAUGCAAGGAUUCACAGUGUUGCAUGGAAAACAGGUUUAACCUUUGUCCAGAAGACUGCACUCUCCCUUUCUGGACCAGGUCCUGAAAAAAUUUUCCCUCUUUGCUCUGUCUAUGAUUGAGGCCCAGAAUUGCAACUCUUAAUCAUAUUUCACAGAACAUACAAUUUGGCUACUGAAAUUAGUGAAACUAAUUCCACUAAUAAAUAAAUUAAUUAAAUCUACAUAUGCCUUUAAACUAGAUCCAAAGCUGCAGACAGUCUGAGACCAUAGAAGUUUUUGUACACAUGAAUGUAUCUCACAUGUACCUUAUAAUGAAAAUUACUUUUGAGAGCUUAGAAUUAGAAAUUCAUUAAACAAAUAACAUGAAAAAAAGUAAAAAGAAACUAAUUUUAAUAAACACUUCUCUUACAAUUACCUGUGCCACAGAGGAACAACAGAGCAGCUGCAUUUCUGAAUAUCAGCUCAAUUUCUUCUAGGCUACAAAACUACAUCCAGUUCCUCCAUAAAAUGACGUGAAGAAAUACAUCCCUUAUAUAGGUGAUAACUUAUUAAUGGAUAGAAUUUGGUAACUGCUAAACCAACUGAGCCUUUGGAAAUCACUUCAAAACCAGUACAUGCAUAGAAUAAAGUCAGGGUACCUAGAAGAUAAUUAAUUUGGCAAUGGUAUUUCAGUUAGUUGUAGAAACACACUGUAACACUGAUUUAUGGACAAAUGAGGUGGAAGAUGGUAUAUUCUAGUUUUGCAACUCUGAGUUAAUACUGGCUCAACUAGAAGAAAUGAUAGAACAGAGCUGAGGCUGCACUGGAAGAAAGCACAUGCAGACAAGAAAAUUUAUUCACCAGCCACAGUCUAAAGCAAGUCUCUAUUAAAUGCAUACUUAUUUUCAAUAUCUGAAGCACCAAAGCAUUCUGUAAAAUUAAGCUACAUUCUAGAGGAAUUAUGCAAGUUACUAAUGUUUAUUUAAAACUACAGAACAGAUAUUACCAUUAUUAAUUUUUUCAAUGUACUUCUUAUAUCUACAUACUUAUGGAUAUUAUUGCAUUUAAUCUUAUAAUACCAGAAUCUUUGAGAUGGGUCUCUGAAAUGAAAGAUUACAAGAACCUGAAAAGUUAAAUUCAGGUAGAAAUUACUGUUGUUUAUUUUAAUCUUGAAGUUAUUUAAAACUUGUCAAUUCUGUGAAAUAAACAGUUUUGUUUCGCAUCA